AAUCCGUGUUGUGGACAACAUGCACAAAGUUUUUUAAAUCGCUCCCAAUAGUCAUAAAGACUUUCUUCUCUCUUUUGUUGAAUGGAAAAAAAUACUCCUUCGUAACU